ensembl:lncRNA
AUGAGGUAGAGGUCAUGCAAGGUCUGAGUUCACCUUUCUCUCUCAUGUUUGUUCUCUGCCCAUCAGCCUUGAGUGUCAGUGGAGAGAGUGCAGGAGAGUCAGAUAGGGUGGCUUCUCAUCUGACUGAAACCAGCAGCACAACAUACAGCUUGACAUGUGUGGUAUCACACCUGGGUGAACACAUGGAUAGUGGUCACUACAUCUGUGAUGUCGUGGAGGGGGACGGUAGCAAUUGGCUGUGCUUCAACGACAGUCAAGUUUCAAGGAGGUCAAAAGAUGAAAUAGUGCAGAAAAGGGCAAGCACAGCCUACUUACUCUUCUAUGUGGAGAGGUAUGUCACUACUCUACAUCCUGGGUAUUUGGGUGAGAAACAAAAAUGUGCUUUCCUGAUUACAAGACGUCCUUCUUUUGUACACAGUGAUGCAGGAGAGGGAGAUAAAGGAGUCGGUUGAAUGGUGUGGCGUGGCGUGGAGACUGCCACCUCAUGGUCUCCUGAACAUUGCCCCAUGACGUCAUGGAAGAAGUCAACUGCUGGGCAAGCCACCCUUUCGUUGGUGACUACACCCUGUUCUACUGAGGAGCCUGAACAUCAACCAGAAACAUCAGUUCAGAGGCACACAGCUGCAGCCAGGAGGAUGCCGUGAACAGAUGGAUUGCAAGCAUCUGUCCAUCAGUUAUCCAUGACGGUGAUCCAUGCGGGAAGAUGGCCUGGCUCACAUCCUCAAUUCUCACAGACACUUGUAUUAAAAAAAGAUAUGAGCACCAUCAACCAUUAAAGUAAUGAAG